rnacentral:lncRNA from 1 species
UGAAAUACCGAAAAUCGCUCUAACACGAGUGAAAAUAACUCAAGUUUGAGUGAAUUUUUUUCACUCAAAUUGAGCUAUUUCCAUAUAACUCUUUCACUUGUGUGAUUUUAACUCAAGAUGAGAAGGCCGGUUUUAUCUAGACGAAAGACUUAAACAGCACUCAAGUUGAGUUAUUUUCACUCGUUCAUUUUAAGAGAGUAUAUUUCACCAUUUUGCUUUUGGUAAAAAGCUUCCGUAUAUUCUACUCAAUGUUGACGAAAUAAAUUUACCCUUUUAUUUCGGUACCAAAUAGGUGGAUGAAUGUCCCCCAAACAAACACAAGAGGAACAGAUGGAACAGAGAGCUAAAUUACACACACGUCCGAAGUAGAAUUCGAACCCGGAAUUUUCAAAAUAGGAGACCAAUUCCAUGUUAUACAAGCAAGGUGCUUGUCUCCCUGUAACAGCCACCCCAUAGACUGCUGAACUCAAACUGUCUUUUAUUUUAACUUUUUAUACCAUUUCAUGAUGCAUGGGAUAUGGGCCUUCUGCGCGGCCCAGGUGCCCAAUUUAUAAAUAAAGAAAGAUAGAAAUGAUUGCAUCAAAGGAUUGAAUAACCAAAUUUGUAAUGGUUACAGAAGAGUUGAAAGAUAAUAUUGUUACACAUGACCAUGAAAUUCAAGGAAACGGAAAAAAAAGAUUCUCAAGAUUCCGUUAGAGAUUAACUAGAGCUUUUGAUUAUGAAUUAUUUUAAUUUAUGGAUUAUAUUGCAAUUAGUGUUUUUCUGAUAAUACCCUUCUUAAUUUCUUCUUAGAGUCACCGUUUUUCUUGCUAAUCUUGAUAAUUCCCCCAUUUCCAAUUUAAGAAUUUCACAGUAAAAAUCAUGUUUGUUUAAGAAAUUACAGGUGUUAUCAGUUGAAAAUUUCGAAAUUCUGAGAUUUUAUACGUAAUCGUAACAGCUUUCUAAUCGUAUUUAAUUGUAUAUUUCAGAGCAUACCUUAUAAUACAACACCAUAUAGAAUUUGCAGUUCUUCAAAAUAAUAUAUUCAAUAGGAACUUAUAUAUUGGCGAAGUUAUUUCAUAAUCACAUAAGUUGGCUCGUUAAUUUUCUAUUCACUACGUAAAGGCACUAUAUGAUGGCAAGGUUCUUUUAAAAUUGCUGUAUGUUGGCAAAAUUAUUUUAUACCUAAAAUCACACUGGAAUUGAAAAUGCUGAUAUAUGCAUUGAAAAUAUAGCUGGUGUACUUUGUUUUCUGAAGUUUUUAAAUAUGUAUGAGAUAAAUCAUCUUCUUCUGCUUCAUAUCAAAUGGAUUAAGUUUUUUUAAUCUAAAAUUCUCCUGGCUUCCAUUUUUAAUUCUGUUUCCUGUUCUCAAUCUUAAGUCUUCAUCUAAAACGAAAUAUAUUACAUUUAAUAUAUUUUAUUUGAAUUUAAACGUUAAUGUAAUAACAUUUAUUUUUUAAAUUUUGGAUUGAAAACAGUAAUGAAUCGAAGUCAUCUUUCAGAAAAUGUUAAGAGUCAGAACAUAUUGAGUCAUUUAUAUAGCAACUAAUGUAAAUUUUCCUAUAAGAGUCAUAAUGUUAUCUGAAUUAUUUAUUGUAAUUGCACAUUGCACAUUAAUCCAAUGAAAUACAAGGGGAAAGUAUAAAUAUGAAUAUGAUGAUUACAUGGAGAAAAAACAUUCUGCUAAACAUAUAGUACUGUAUGGCAAUGACAUUGAUGGCUAUUCUGUUCAAUAAGACCA